UUUGGGCAAUGGGCGAAAGCCUGACCCAGCAACGCCGCGUGAGGGAUGAAGUAUUUCGGUAUGUAAACCUCGAAAGAAUGGGAAGAAUAAAUGACGGUACCACUUAUAAGCUCCGGCUAACUACGUGCCAGCAGCCGCGGUAAUACGUAGGGAGCAAGCGUUGUUCGGAUUUACUGGGAGUAAAGGGCGCGUAGGCGGCGCGGUAAGUCACUUGUGAAAUCUCUGAGCUUAACUCAGAACGGCCAAGUGAUACUGCUGUGCUAGAGUGCGGAAGAGGCAACCGGAAUUCUUGGUGUAGCGGUGAAAUGCGUAGAUAUCAAGAGGAACACCUGAGGCGAAGGCGGGUUGCUGGGCCGACACUGACGCUGAUGCGCGAAAGCCAGGGGAGCAAACG
rnacentral:rRNA from 1 species